CCGGCGGUGGUCAAAUGGUCAUCAUGGCGGGGCUUUUAACUCCUCUGUCACGGGUUCGAAUCCUGCUUUCGCCGGC
rnacentral:tRNA from 1 species